CAAAGGAAUUGACGGGUCCCGCACAAGCAGCGGAGCGUGUGGUUUAAUUCGUUGCUACACGAAGAACCUUACCUGGGUUUGACAUAGCAGUGGUAGGAAGCGAAGCGACGACCCUUCGGGGAGCUGUUACAGGUGUUGCAUGGCUGUCGUCAGCUCGUGUCGUGAGAUGUUCGGUUAAGUCCGCUAACGAGCGCAACCCGCGUUGUGUGUUACAAGUGUCACACAAUACCGCCGGUAUUAAGUCGGAGGAAGGUGCGGAUGACGUCAAGUCAGCAUGACCUUUAUAUCCAGGGCUACACACACGCUACAAUGGUCGGCACAAUAGGUUGCCAAGUCGUGAGACGGAGCCAAUCCUCCAAAGUCGGCCUCAGUUCAGAUUGCAGGCUGCGACUCGCCUGCAUGAAGUUGGAGUUGCUAGUAAACGCAGGUCAGCUAUACUGCGUUGAAUACGUUCCCGGGGAUU
rnacentral:rRNA from 1 species